UACGUAGGUGGCAAGCGUUGUCCGGAUUUACUGGGCGUAAAGAGCGCGCAGGCGGUCGUUCAAGUCGCGUGUGAAAGCCCCCGGCUCAACUGGGGAGGGUCACGCGAUACUGAUCGACUGGAAGGCAGGAGAGGGUAGUGGAAUUCCCGGUGUAGCGGUGAAAUGCGUAGAUAUCGUAAGGAAGACCAGUGGCGAAGGCGGGUCUCUGGACAGUUCCUGACGCUGAGGCACGAAGGUCAGGGGAGCAAACGGG
rnacentral:rRNA from 1 species